CUUCAGCGACCAAAUUCAGCUUACAGGAUUCAAACCAGCAUUAUUGCAGAGGGAGCUGCAUGCAUCAGCUGAAAGGCGCUUUCUUUUUAUCUGCUGUUGGACUGUAGCAGCCUUACCACCACGGCGCAGCCACAGUGAGAGACAUGGACACCUUCAUGCAGUAUGUGGAGUUCCUGCAACACAGACCAGUCUGGGAUCAGUCAUUACAGCGUUUAUUAAAUUCUCUGUGAGAUGAAGACUGGAGCGAGCAGUUUACCGAGGGAUGUUCAGAGAUAUAAAGGUUAAUAAGUGAGUACCAUAUCAUCAUGCAUCUCGAGGACUCGUCUCUAUGUGACGCCCACACAGGACUAAUUUUAGAGUCCUCCAUAUUUAAAUUCAGGUUUUUUUUCCCUUUGUCUGUACAUCUAUUUCUUUGUUGUUGUUGUUUCUUAUUAUUAUUUCUGUUGAAAAUGUAAUAAAUAAAUGUUGAAUCUGAAAGGUAAUAUUUUUGUAUUUCAGUGCUUCUGGUCUUCAUCCGUUAUUUUCAUCAACA